rnacentral:rRNA from 1 species
UACGGAGGGUGCGAGCGUUAAUCGGAAUUACUGGGCGUAAAGAGUGCGUAGGUGGUUGAUUAAGUUAUCUGUGAAAUCCCCGGGCUCAACCUGGGCAGGUCAGAUAAAACUGGUUAACUCGAGUAUGGGAGAGGGUAGUGGAAUUUCCGGUGUAGCGGUGAAAUGCGUAGAGAUCGGAAGGAACACCAGUGGCGAAGGCGGCUACCUGGCCUAAUACUGACACUGAGGCACGAAAGCGUGGGGAGCAAACAGG